rnacentral:tRNA from 1 species
GCCCCCGUAGCCCAAUUGGCAGAGGCGGCGGACUUAAAAUCCGCGCAGUGUCGGUUCGAACCCGACCGGGGGUACC